rnacentral:RNase_P_RNA from 1 species
GCGAACUGCGCAGUCGCGGCGGCGCUUCAGGCCGGCGAGGAAAGUCCGGGCAUCACAGAGCUGGGUAACUGCUAACGGCAGCCGGGGGCGACCCUAGGGCUAGUGCAACAGAAAUGAGACUUCCGUCUGUCUCUGACCGGCGGUAAAGGUGGAAAGGUGCGGUAAGAGCGCACCGGAGCGUAUGAGAAUACGCUGCCGUGUAAACCCUGCCCGAUGCAACGCUGAUUGGUGUAUCAGGUCAUAACGUCUGCUCGGCGGAUCUGAUGCAAAGGCGGCUCGAUCGUUCCGGCGACGGAACGGCUAGAUAAAUGACUGCGGUCGGUUUCUCCGGAAACCGUCACAGAACCCGGCUUACAGGUUCGGU